rnacentral:rRNA from 1 species
GACGUAGGGCGCGAGCGUUGUCCGGAUUUAUUGGGCGUAAAGAGCUCGUAGGCGGCUUGUCGCGUCGUCCGUGAAAACUUGGGGCUCAACCCCAAGCUUGCGGUCGAUACGGGCAGGCUAGAGUUCGGUAGGGAGACGUGGAAUUCCUGGUGUAGCGGUGAAAUGCGCAGAUAUCAGGAGGAACACCGGUGGCGAAGGCGGGUCUCUGGGCCGAUACUGACGCUGAGAAGCGAAAGCAUGGGGAGCGAACAGG